UGAUAUAAGCAGCAUAGGGACCUGUACAAAAAGAAAAUUAGGGGGAAAGUGCAACUGCAAUGAUUAAGUAGAGAAACAGAAUAUUCUUUCUUAAUUGUCUUUUAUCCGGGACACAUAAAAGAGCUCAUGAGGAUUCUAAAACGUAGAAGAAAGGCAGAAGUUUUAAAUUCUAUACUCAAUCAAGCUAUUUGAAAUCAUUGGACUAUUCAACUCACAUUAAUCCCUGGGAGUUUCGGAAGUAAAUGUACCUCUGGGUACUCUCAUGGACUUGAACCCAUGGAUAUUAAGGACUAAUAUUUGGCUUUUCAUCUCCUACUUUACAACACUUUUGAGCACCAUGAAGAAAGAGUAAGUUAUUGUAAUGAGUCCUAGCACUGUGAUGACAGCUGAGCUUACUUUUGGAGCGGGGACGAGUCUCACAGUUGUACCAAACAUUUCAAAAACUUCUAUCCCUCAAAUCAUUGUGAUGAAAUCAAAGAAACUGGAAGAAGGUGGCAGUCCUGGCAAAGCAGCUUGUUUGGCAAGGAAUAUUCAGACAAAGAGCAUCAGCUUGGAGAUGCCCUCUAAGGAGGUCGUGUAUGAACAGAGCACAUCCAUUUUGACACCAGAGGGGCUGUACAAUGCAAUUCAAGUGGUCAGUGUGACAAACGACACAGAGGUGACCUGCACGGCCAAAUUCGACAACAGCACGAUGACAGCACAGCCAGAAGGGAAGGCUGGAGAACCAGUGGCAGGGCCCAGUGAGAGGGUUUGCAACAGCACAGAGCCCUCAGCACAAGAUGCUGAAGGGCAGAGAGUGAACAUGCUGUCCAUGGCUGUGCUGGGUUUGAGAGUCCUGCUGGCAAAGAGCAUCGCCAUCAACACCCUCAUGAGUAUCAAGCUGUUUCUUCUCUGAGUCAUGGGGAAUGAAGGCAAGAGGAGCCCAAGGAAGAGCAGGAAAGAACGUGAACCAGCAGCACAAGGGGCUUGAACAAGCAGGGCCAGAGCAGUGACAGAGACCAGCCAGGACACAAGGCAGCAGCUUCCCCUGAAGACAUUGAACACUCUUCACUCCUGCCUGGCCAGAUGAUUUACACUGAACAGUUUGAAAUGCUUUUGCUGUUUUUGCUCUCCUCUGAUAUAUGAGGGGAGUAGAUUUUUCCUCAUCCUCCUGCUAAGUAUCUCCCCAUCCUGUGGCAUUUGCACACAAGUGUCCAAGCUGCUUCAAUAGCUUUGAAAACUCCAAUGCUCACUCAAGAUAUCUGGGCUUUUGAAAACACCUUUCCCAGGCAUGUUGUGUUACUGCCUGUGCCACUGCAGUAGUGCUGCUGAGGGAAUUCAAGCCCAUUUCUUUAUUAAGCCUGUAUUCCUUAUGUCAAAUAUAUCUCAUGUGCAUUUUAUACUCCUGCAGCAGUGACAAAAAUAAAGUUUUUCUAGACCAAAAUGCUGUGGGUUUUCUGUGCUUUUUCUUCUGAAUCUGGGACAGAGAUUAUUGAAAUCUAGUUUAUUCUAGCAAGGGGCCACCAGGAAGUAAUUUCGGGUGGUUUGAUGGAGUGAUAGUUUCCAUGGCAACUUGGUUCUUACCUAACACAGCCCAGCUCACACCUUCCCCAGCUCAUCCCCCUCUCACAAGCUACAGGCAGGAUGCUGUGGUCACCACUUGUGACUCACUUACAGCAGGCAGCAUUAACCCUCCCCUGCUUUUGAGAAAACAAGUUAACCACAUCCUGCAGGGGAAAUAAGGCUUUUCUGCCCCUGGCUGAGAUCCUGCUGCCUGCAAGAGAGCCUUGCACAGCACACAGCAAGAUUAGCUGCAUUCAGCUUGCUCAG